rnacentral:rRNA from 1 species
AACGAACGCUGGCGGCAUGCCUAACACAUGCAAGUCGAACGAGACCUUCGUGUCUAGUGGCGCACGGGUGCGUAACGCGUGGGAACCUGCCCUUAGGUUCGGAAUAACUCCCCGACAGGGGUGCUAAUACCGGAUAAUGUCUUCGGACCAAAGAUUUAUCGCCUUUGGAUGGGCCCGCGUUGGAUUAGCUAGUUGGUAGGGUAAAAGCCUACCAAGGCGACGAUCCAUAGCUGGUCUGAGAGGAUGAUCAGCCACACUGGGACUGAGACACGGCCCAGACUCCUACGGGAGGCAGCAGUGGGGAAUAUUGGACAAUGGGCGAAAGCCUGAUCCAGCAAUGCCGCGUGAGUGAUGAAGGCCUGAGGGUUGUAAAGCUCUUUUACCCGGGAUGAUAAUGACAGUACCGGGAGAAUAAGCUCCGGCUAACUCCGUG